rnacentral:rRNA from 1 species
AUUGAACGCUGGCGGCAUGCCUUACACAUGCAAGUCGAACGGCAGCACGGGGGCAACCCUGGUGGCGAGUGGCGAACGGGUGAGUAAUGCAUCGGAAUGUACCCAAUAGUGGGGGAUAACCAGUCGAAAGACUGACUAAUACCGCAUACGCACUACGGUGGAAAGCGGGGGAUCGAAAGACCUCGCGCUAUUGGAGCAGCCGAUGUCCGAUUAGGUAGUUGGUGGGGUAAUGGCCUACCAAGCCCGCGAUCGGUAACUGGUCUGAGAGGACGACCAGUCACACUGGGACUGAGACACGGCCCAGACUCCUACGGGAGGCAGCAGUGGGGAAUUUUGGACAAUGGGCGAAAGCCUGAUCCAGCAAUGCCGCGUGUGUGAAGAAGGCCUUCGGUUGUAAGACGCUUUGUUCAGGAGAAAGGAGCAGUUAAUACAUUGCGACAAUAGACGGUACCUGAAGAAUAAAGACACCGGCGUAACCUACGUAGCCACGCAGCCGCGGU